CGGCGGGGCUUCUGCGCAGCUCCAAAGUCCAGCCAGAUGUGGGGGGCGAGCGCCAUCACAGAGCCCUCCACCUGGCCCUCUGGCCCAAACCAGCGCGUUCUGCAGUGGCGACUGGUCACGGAGGGGCAGAGCUCAGCUUCCUUUUCCACGCUUCUCACAGUUUCCCGGGCGCAGAUUUGCACAUGGUUACAGCAAUGAGCUGAAGCAGGGCCAGUCACACAACCCUCCAGCCCCCACUGCUUUCCCAGGAGGAGGUAGAAGUGGACGUGUGUGUCUCCCGGAUGCAGCCGGCGGGAUGCAGUUGGUGCUUUAGAUACGAUCAAAUGUCUCUAAAAUAAGCAUCUGUAGAGAAAAUGAAAGCUCCUGUGGCUGGGAUUCUCACCUGACCCUGGUCGGCUUGCUCCACGCACACCUGUGGGCAAUACG